UGACGUCAGGAGUUGCGUGUCUUUGUGUGUGUGUCCGUGGCGAGAAAGACAGUCCGACAUCGCCAUGAGAAACGAACGGAUUUCCACUGGGCUUUUUAUUUAUUUUUGGUCGCCGCUGCUUGAAGACCUUUAAUAUUCACCUUCACUCCAUAAAAAGAAACGCCACAGAGUUUUAAACGAGGCUUCAUCCGGAUGGCUGUCCAUACAGCUGUGUUUGUUUAUUUUAUGGGUCAUUAUGAUGGUGUUGUUUUGGGGUUGACCCCAGAGAGAAAGAUGUUUUCCUGCUUCUUUGUAUCAUGACCUGAGGUGAGCUUACAAGCAGCGUUUCUGUGUCUCCUCAAACGCGUUCACUUUAUAAACAAUCUGUUGACUAUAACACUUCCUGUUUCCGCUUCGGAGAGAGACUACACCUUUUUUCGGGAUAUUUUUAGGAUUAUGAAAAAAAAAGAGAUUCAAUGUCUAUUAUACAUGAUACUCCCUGAUCUGAGGUAUUUUGUCCCUCCGCACUGUCUGGGAGAAACUCCAGCCACUGAGAGCCACUUCUUCCUCUGGGUCGCGAUUUAGUGCACUGGAGAGGCGGAUUUACCAUUAGACAAAGGGAGGUCACUGUUUCGAGUCCCAAGCGACUAAAAGCCCAUAAAACGCCUCAUAAAUGUACAGUUAAGAAAUUAUAGUUAGUUUCUCACUUUUCGCUGAUUGUCUUCCUGAAAUGCCGUACGCUAAAAUGGCAUCAGAGCGUCUCAGUCCCCGCUACACUGGACUGGUCCAUGAUCUUACCGCGCUGCUGCGGAAAUACUUCAGAAAGACAGCAGCGAACAAGUGUGAAGGCCUUGGGGUGGAGUACAGAGUUUAAACAACAAGACAAGCGGCGCUGAGAAAAGGAGGAGGCGUUUGGGAAAACCGUUCUCUUUCGACUUCACAAACGCACCGCCUCUUCUCAGUAUAAAAGCGCACAGACCAGAUGAAGGCACGAUGACGUUUUGCUGCGUUUUCUCGCAGUUAUAAACCGCCGCGCGGCUCCAAAUGCGCCGACCAUCUUCAGACAAACGGACCGAUUUUAAUAAGAGAUUAUUUCAAAAAGGAAACCUGUCGGCUGUUUAAGGAUUGAAUUAUGACUCCAGCUCAACACAUCUGUGACAAUAAGAUCAAUCUGCUUCUUUAAUAUGGUUUAUCUGUAGUUUAGGCUGAGAGUAUCAAGAGCCAUACAGUAUAGCAAUAUUGAUUAAUCUCUUCAAAACACUGUUGUGCUUCUGCACGAGAAAAAUAGUAAAAUUUAUUUUAACCUUUUUUAUAACAACCUCCACUCUUCUGGAAGUCUUUGCAAUAGAGUUCAGUGUAGGGAUUUGUGCUCAUUCGGUCACAAUUGUAUGAGUGAAAAAGUGACCUUGUGUGAGGUCAGUGUUCCAGUUCAUCUGAAAUGUGUUCAGUGGGACUGAUGUGGACACGAGAGUUCUUCCACUCAAACCUUGGCCAACCAUGUCUUCAUGGAACUUGCUUUGUGCACAGGGGCAUUGUAAUGCUGGAACACGCUUCAGCCUGAGAGGGGAAAUUGUAAAGCUUCAUCAUACAAACACAUUCUAGACAACUGUGUGCUUCCGACUUGAUGGCAACAGUUUGGGGAAGAACCACAUGCAGUGUGAUGGUCAGGUGUUCACAUACUUUUGGCCAGAUAGUGUAGAUUAGACACCUGAGUAAACGGUGCGCGCCAUGCGAUCAGACACUGAACGAAAAUUGUUUAUAUUUAUGUUCGUUUGUCCCAAAAUGAAUGUAACAUCUGGCUGAUGUGUCAGUCAUCGCCUAAUUUUGAUGCGCGCGCUCUAAAGGCGACAAGUUAAGGCUCUGAUAUUUUAAUGAGUUUCAUUUCAAAUCAGAGUCUCAUUGGCUGUUUAUUAGCGCUGUAGCUACUUGCUAGUAGUCGCAGAGAGGUUCACACUGCACGAUUCAUCCGAAUAUCAAACAUGCUUGAAAAUCCCGGAGCCUCGGCGAACGCUCGCGGACUGAGAAACAUCCUGUCGGUGAACGGUGCGCGUGAGCAGUCCACGGGAGCGCGCACUGAGGAGUCGCCGAACCGGUGAUAGCGAUGAUGGAGAGGAGACUUAGCGGCAGGAAAAAUGAACAGUGAUGAUGUAAUGAAUUUUGUUCCUUGCUUGUCCUUGACUCAGGUGUAUGUACUGCAGCGCUCAGCUGUGUGUCUGAGAUCUGCGAGAGGCUCGUGAACGUCUUUACAUGUGGAGGUGUGUGUCUCAGUCACCCACAACAUUUCACACUGAAGAUGUCCAAUAUCAGUAUUUUAGUGUGUUUUUAUUUGCCUGGGAUGGAGCCUUUCUGGAAUUCCUCGUCUGAAGAAGAAAUAUUCAAAACACUUCAGUAACGCUCCAAAUGAAAUCAGGGUAAAGUUCCUCAAAUCCAUCUGACAACUUCAUGUUAAAGUCCAUGGUUUUGGAAUGGGCACAUAUGGGUGUUAUGGUCAGGUGUCCGCAUACUUUUGGCCAUGUAGUGUUCAUGUACAGUAUAUGCAUGCUUACUGUGAAUGGUGAGUCAGACGCUGAGUGAACCACAACACUACAAUAAGGGACUUUCCAAAAACAUGACUAUGAAACUAUAGCUACAUGAAGUUGAAAACAAAGUCAGCUUUUUUUGGUGCAUGUUUCUUCACAUACAUUCACAUAAGGAAGAAGGAAAUUAUAUUUCAUAUCUGUUUGUCUGAAACCCUCAAUUUAUUUUCAUAUUUUUCAUCAUAAUUUAUUCUACGUAGGAGAAAGGCAUGAUCGUGAUGCAGCACCAGAGGGCUCAGAAAAGCCAGAAGAAGGUGUUGGACUUUCAGUGGUGGAGACUGAACCAGCAGGGACUCAAAGCUCAGUGUGUCCUUUCUUCUCCACAAAUCCAUGAGACACCUCUUCGGUCAUGACAUGGAACCUGAUCCUGAUGCCACUCCAGUGCCAGUCUUCCGUGUCUCCUGCUACAGUCAUGUAAUUAACUUUGUGGGCAUUUGAUAUCAUCACGAUGUGACUCACUCAUUUGUUAUUUGUUGCUGGUUUCACUGUGAUCAUAUUUCAGGAUGAAGUCAAGUUGGUUUAUUUGUAUAGCGCUUUUAAGAACAUUGUUGCAAAGCAGCUUUAGAGAAAAAUAGAUUUUAAACACAUCAAGUAAUUUUAUCGUUAAAUGUAUUCAUCCCCAAAGAACAAGUCUGAGGUGAUGGUGACAAGCUCUCUCUUGUGUGUCUCGCUAGUCUCUCUCUCUCUCGCUCUCUCAUCUCUCUCGUGUAUCUCUCUCUCAUAUGUCUCUUUGGAUUACGAUGUAAAACUCCCUCAGACGACAUACGGAAGAAACAUUGAGAGGAAUCAGACUCAAAAGGGCAUUACUCAGGUUUUUUUUUUAACUUUGCUAAACAGAUCUUUAUUGUCAAUAUUCUAGAACUUCUGUUUACUAGUUGGUGUUGGCUGUUUCAUUUUAAUGCUGAAAAUGUUUUUCAACAUGAGAAGAUAAACUUCAUGUAUUUGUGCUACCUUGUGAUGUUCUUUUUAUUAUAUAGAUACAUCCAUAAAGAAAAUAAUAUCCUAGUUAAUCAAAAGAAUUUUAAUUUUGAACCGGUCACCAUUUUGACAAGUCAGCAGGAAAACAUUGGGAGUGACAUCAUCGGAAUGAAAUUAUCAGAAAUUAUUAUACAUACAA